GCCCGUUUAGCUCAGUUGGUUAGAGCGUUUGCUUUACACGCAAAAUGUCGGCGGUUCGAGUCCGUCAACGGGCA
rnacentral:tRNA from 1 species